AGAGUUUGAUCCUGGCUCAGGAUGAACGCUGGCGGCGUGCCUAACACAUGCAAGUCGAGCGAUCUUCUUCGGAAGAGAGCGGCGGACGGGUGAGUAACGCGUGGGUAACCUGCCCUGUACACACGGAUAACAUACCGAAAGGUAUGCUAAUACGAGAUAAUAUGCUUUUGUCGCAUGGUAGAAGUAUCAAAGCUCCGGCGGUGCAGGAUGGACCCGCGUCUGAUUAGCUAGUUGGUAAGGUAACGGCUUACCAAGGCGACGAUCAGUAGCCGACCUGAGAGGGUGAUCGGCCACAUUGGAACUGAGACACGGUCCAAACUCCUACGGGAGGCAGCAGUGGGGAAUAUUGCACAAUGGGCGAAAGCCUGAUGCAGCAACGCCGCGUGAGCGAUGAAGGCCUUCGGGUCGUAAAGCUCUGUCCUCAAGGAAGAUAAUGACGGUACUUGAGGAGGAAGCCCCGGCUAACUACGUGCCAGCAGCCGCGGUAAUACGUAGGGGGCUAGCGUUAUCCGGAAUUACUGGGCGUAAAGGGUGCGUAGGUGGUUUCUUAAGUCAGUGGUGAAAGGCUACGGCUCAACCGUAGUAAGCCUUUGAAACUGGGAAACUUGAGUGCAGGAGAGGAGAGUGGAAUUCCUAGUGUAGCGGUGAAAUGCGUAGAUAUUAGGAGGAACACCAGUUGCGAAGGCGGCUCUCUGGACUGUAACUGACACUGAGGCACGAAAGCGUGGGGAGCAAACAGGAUUAGAUACCCUGGUAGUCCACGCCGUAAACGAUGAGUACUAGCUGUCGGAGGUUACCCCCUUCGGUGGCGCAGCU
rnacentral:rRNA from 1 species